rnacentral:lncRNA from 1 species
CUGACGUGUCACCACCCGCGGUGUUCUACUAGUGCAGUAGCCAGGCGCGCUGUGUCCACUGUCCUAGUAGCCGCGGCGCUGACGUGUCACCACCCGCGCUGUUCUACUAGUGCAGUAGCCAGGCGCGCUGUGUCCACUGUCCUAGUAGCCGCGGCGCUGACGUGUCACCACCCGCGGUGUUCUACUAGUGCAGUAGCCAGGCGCGCUGUGUCCACUGUCCUAGUAGCCGCGGCGCUGACGUGUCACCACCCGCGGUGUUCUACUAGUGCAGUAGCCAGGCGCGCUGUGUCCACUAUCCUAGUAGCCGCGGCGCUGACGUGUCACCACCCGCGCUGUUCUACGCGGUGUCCUAGUAGCCGCAUGGUGCGAUCCAAGUAGCGUCAGGUCACGUGGUUGGGUUCCGCGAGGCACCGAAGAAGGACCUAAGAAUUCCUAUUGUGAAGGUAAUUGUAACG